GAUGAACGCUGGCGGCGUGCCUAAUACAUGCCAGUCGAGCGAACGGACGAGAAGCUUGCUUCUCUGAUGUUAGCGGCGGACGGGUGAGUAACACGUGGAUAACCUACCUAUAAGACUGGGAUAACUUCGGGAAACCGGAGCUAAUACCGGAUAAUAUUUUGAACCGCAUGGUUCAAAAGUGAAAGACGGUCUUGCUGUCACUUAUAGAUGGAUCCGCGCUGCAUUAGCUAGUUGGUAAGGUAACGGCUUACCAAGGCAACGAUGCAUAGCCGACCCGAGAGGGUGAUCGGCCACACUGGAACUGAGACACGGUCCAGACUCCUACGGGAGGCAGCAGUAGGGAAUCUUCCGCAAUGGGCGAAAGCCUGACGGAGCAACGCCGCGUGAGUGAUGAAGGUCUUCGGAUCGUAAAACUCUGUUAUUAGGGAAGAACAUAUGUGUAAGUAACUGUGCACAUCUUGACGGUACCUAAUCAGAAAGCCACGGCUAACUACGUG
rnacentral:rRNA from 1 species